ACUAUAUUUUAGGAGGAAGGAAAUCAACAUAAUCCUUAAAAGUAUAACUCAAACUCAUAUGACUCAAGCUCCUCCUUAGCGGUUCUUCACACUCCACACACACAAACAUACAUCAGAAGAGUUAUCAGACAUCCUUCAACACAACUCAUUUCACUUCAGAAUGGAAAACAGCAAAGUCCUGGCAUCUGAAAAAGCUACAGUUAUCAUCCAAGUAAAUCCACAGGUGGCACAAGAUACUGUUAUUUGUGAUGAUGGACAGCAGGUCAGAGGAGCAUAUAACAAUACGGCUCUUAAAGGAUUUUUCAAAGCACAACCAAAGGCACUGGGGUCUGUACAGAUAAUGACUGGAGUGAUGGUCUUCUUACUUGGUAUUGUGCUCUCCGCAAGUUUAGUCGGAUUUCAUAGUAUUUUUGUCUUUAGCGGCAUCACCUACUGGGGAUCUUUAAUU